UACGUAGGGUGCGAGCGUUGUCCGGAAUUAUUGGGCGUAAAGAGCUCGUAGGCGGUGUGUCACGUCGGCCGUGAAAACCUGCAGCUUAACUGUGGGCGUGCGGUCGAUACGGGCAUCACUGGAGUUCGGCAGGGGAGACUGGAAUUCCUGGUGUAGCGGUGAAAUGCGCAGAUAUCAGGAGGAACACCGGUGGCGAAAGGCGGGUCUCUGGGCCGUAACUGGACGCUGGAGGAGCGAAAGCAUGGGGAGCGAACAGG
rnacentral:rRNA from 1 species